UACGGAGGAUCCAAGCGUUAUCCGGAUUCACUGGGUUUAAAGGGUGCGUAGGCGGACAUGUAAGUCCGUGGUGAAAUCUCUAAGCUUAACUUGGAAACUGCCAUGGAUACUAUAUGUCUUGAAUGUUGUGGAGGUUAGCGGAAUAUGUCAUGUAGCGGUGAAAUGCAUAGAUAUGACAUAGAACACCAAUUGCGAAGGCAGCUGGCUACACAAAUAUUGACGCUGAGGCACGAAAGCGUGGGGAUCAAACAGG
rnacentral:rRNA from 1 species